CAGCAGCCUCGGUAAUACAGAGGGUGCAAGCGUUAAUCGGAAUUACUGGGCGUAAAGCGCGCGUAGGUGGUUCGCCAAGUUGGAUGUGAAAUCCCCGGGCUCAACCUGGGAACUGCAUCCAAAACUGGCGAGCUAGAGUAUGGUAGAGGGUGGUGGAAUUUCCUGUGUAGCGGUGAAAUGCGUAGAUAUAGGAAGGAACAUCAGUGGCGAAGGCGACCACCUGGACUGAUACUGACACCGAGGUGCGAAAGCGUGGGGAGCAAACAGGAUUAGAUACCCGAGUAGUCCCUGUCUCUUAUAC
rnacentral:rRNA from 1 species